rnacentral:lncRNA from 1 species
CCAAUUGAACUUGAUCCAAUCAAGUUCAAACUAAAUUUAAUUAAAUUAUAUUUAAUUAGACUUAAUCUUAGCCCAUUGGCUUAAUUAAAUUAAGCCAAUUAACAAUCGAAUUGCUAAUCGAUCCUCCUGCAACACUUGCAUUAGGUUAAAUGUCAAUCAUAUUGAUUGUUUAACCCUAGAACGAUUCUUAAUCGUUGAUCAACUAUC